rnacentral:tRNA from 1 species
GCGGGAAUAGCUCAGUUGGUAGAGCAUAACCGUGCCAAGGUUGGGGUCGGGAGUUCGAGUCUCCUUUCCCGCU